ACCCUGCCUGUGUCUGGAAGAGAGCUGAACACACAGUAGAACACAAUAAAUUAUAUUCAAAUGGCAGUCAAGGAGGAAACUUUCUUUCCUCAUCAACAAAGCUGAUCGAUGGGCACUGAAGCCCCGGGGAAGCAGCAUCUGUUGUAACUCAAGGAUCCCGGCUUGAGCUGAGGAUGAAAUUAACAGGCGCAGAGUCGUUGGCAGCCCAACAUUUGUUCAAGUCUGGCACAUGCACACAUCAUUAGCAACUAUGCUGGAGAAGAAUGAUCAAGGAGGUGAGGAGGGGAAUGGAUCUGAUUAAAGAGAUGUUCAAGGAAGAAAAUUCCAAGCACUUGGAUAAAAGCUUCAUAGCUAAAAUGAAUGAACUCGAGAGCAAAGCAAAUAGCCAGGUACAUUUGGGAGAUGCCGACAGACAAUCUGGAUAACUUUGCCUCUGAAACUUUCAAAACAAAGUCAUUUCAUGCAGCGAAUUCCCCAGAGUGGCUGCCUCUUUCACUUAGCUCCCUCGGCUGUGUCUCCUUCACGAAAUGAAGCCCCCAUGACGGUAAAGAUUUUGCUGUCUUGUUCAUGGCUCCAAUCUUGACUCCUGGUAGAUAAAAUUAAAUAUUCAUGGAAUAAG